rnacentral:tRNA from 1 species
GCCCAGGUGGCUCAGCUGGUUGGAGCAUCAUCCAGUAUACCAAAAGGUUACAGGUUUGAUUCCUGGCCAGGGCA